rnacentral:rRNA from 1 species
UGGGGAAUUUUGGACAAUGGGCGCAAGCCUGAUCCAGCCAUGCCGCGUGCGGGAAGAAGGCCUUCGGGUUGUAAACCGCUUUUGUCAGGGAAGAAACGGUCUGAACUAAUACUUUGGACUAAUGACGGUACCUGAAGAAUAAGCACCGGCUAACUACGUGCCAGCAGCCGCGGUAAUACGUAGGGUGCAAGCGUUAAUCGGAAUUACUGGGCGUAAAGCGUGCGCAGGCGGCUAUGCAAGACAGAUGUGAAAUCCCCGGGCUCAACCUGGGAACUGCAUUUGUGACUGCAUGGCUAGAGUACGGUAGAGGGGGAUGGAAUUCCGCGUGUAGCAGUGAAAUGCGUAGAUAUGCGGAGGAACACCGAUGGCGAAGGCAAUCCCCUGGACCUGUACUGACGCUCAUGCACGAAAGCGUGGGGAGCAAACA